rnacentral:rRNA from 1 species
UACGUAGGUGGCAAGCGUUAUCCGGAUUUAUUGGGUGUAAAGGGCGUGUAGGCGGGAAUGCAAGUCAGAUGUGAAAACUCAGGGCUCAACCCUGAUCCUGCAUUUGAAACUGUAUUUCUUGAGUGCUGGAGAGGCAAUCGGAAUUCCGUGUGUAGCGGUGAGAUGCGUAGAUAUACGGAGGAACACCAGUGGCGAAGGCGGAUUGCUGGACAGUAACUGACGCUGAGGCGCGAAAGCGUGGGGAGCAAACAGG